rnacentral:rRNA from 1 species
ACUCCGUACGGGAGGCAGCAGUGGGGAAUCUUGGACAAUGGGGGCAAACCCUGAUCCAGCCAUGCCGCGUGAGUGAUGAAGGCCUUAGGGUCGUAAAGCUCUUUCGCCUGUGAUGAUAGUGACAGUAGCAGGUAAAGAAACCCCGGCUAACUCCGUGCCAGCAGCCGCGGUAAUACGGAGGGGGUUAGCGUUGUUCGGAAUUACUGGGCGUAAAGCGCGCGUAGGCGGAUUAGUCAGUUAGAGGUGAAAUCCCAGGGCUCAACCCUGGAACUGCCUUUAAUACUGCUAGUCUUGAGUUCGAGAGAGGUGAGUGGAAUUCCGAGUGUAGAGGUGAAAUUCGUAGAUAUUCGGAGGAACACCAGUGGCGAAGGCGGCUCACUGGCUCGAUACUGACGCUGAGGUGCGGAAAGUGUGGGGAGCAAACAGGAUUAGAUACCCUGGUAGGUCGUC